rnacentral:tRNA from 1 species
GGCGACGUAGCUCAGGGGUAGAGCAGGUGAAUCAUAAUCACUCGGUCGGGGGUUCGAAUCCCUCCGUCGCUA